UUUAGAAUUAAAAGUAAAGUUUUAGAAGUUUUGUGGUAGAAAAUAUAAUUUUUAGAGAAUUCAAUGACAAAAAUGAAAUUUAUUUAAAAAAAGGGACAGUUGGAGAGUAGAAGAAUCGGGGAAGAAAAAAGGAAAGGAAAAAGAGAGAAAGAGAGAAGGAGGAGAAGAAGAAGAAGAAGUGAAGGAGGGAGAUGGUGACUGGAUUUUUGAAAUUUUUCUGGCAAAGAUGGAUGUCAGCAAUGAGAAAAGAGGGAG
rnacentral:misc_RNA from 1 species